rnacentral:rRNA from 1 species
ACGGGUGAGUAAUGCCUAGGAAUCUGCCUGGUAGUGGGGGAUAACGCUCGGAAACGGACGCUAAUACCGCAUACGUCCUACGGGAGAAAGCAGGGGACCUUCGGGCCUUGCGCUAUCAGAUGAGCCUAGGUCGGAUUAGCUAGUUGGUGAGGUAAUGGCUCACCAAGGCGACGAUCCGUAACUGGUCUGAGAGGAUGAUCAGUCACACUGGAACUGAGACACGGUCCAGACUCCUACGGGAGGCAGCAGUGGGGAAUAUUGGACAAUGGGCGAAAGCCUGAUCCAGCCAUGCCGCGUGUGUGAAGAAGGUCUUCGGAUUGUAAAGCACUUUAAGUUGGGAGGAAGGGCAUUUACCUAAUACGUAAGUGUUUUGACGUUACCGACAGAAUAAGCACCGGCUAACUCUGUGCCAGCAGCCGCGGUAAUACAGAGGGUGCAAGCGUUAAUCGGAAUUACUGGGCGUAAAGCGCGCGUAGGUGGUUUGUUAAGUUGAAUGUGAAAUCCCCGGGCUCAACCUGGGAACUGCAUCCAAAACUGGCAAGCUAGAGUAUGGUAGAGGGUGGUGGAAUUUCCUGUGUAGCGGU